rnacentral:rRNA from 1 species
GGGCCCGCACAAGCGGCGGAGCAUGCGGCUUAAUUCGAUGCAACGCGAAGAACCUUACCUAGGCUUGACAGUUGGGGAAAUCUGGCAGAGAUGUCAGGUCCGUAAGGGCCCCAAAACAGGUGGUGCAUGGCUGUCGUCAGCUCGUGUCGUGAGAUGUUGGGUUAAGUCCCGCAACGAGCGCAACCCUCGUCGUAUGUUGCCAGCGGAUAAUGCCGGGGACUCAUACGAGACUGCCGGGGUCAACUCGGAGGAAGGUGGGGACGACGUCAAGUCAUCAUGCCCCUUAUGUCUAGGGCUGCACGCAUGCUACAAUGGCCGGUACAGAGGGCUGCGAAACCGCAAGGUGGAGCGAAUCCCAAAAAGCCGGUCUCAGUUCGGAUUGGGGUCUGCAACUCGACCCCAUGAAGUCGGAGUCGCUAGUAAUCGC